rnacentral:rRNA from 1 species
GAUGAACGCUGACAGAAUGCUUAACACAUGCAAGUCAACUUGAAUUUGGGUUUUUAACUUAGAUUUGGGUGGCGGACGGGUGAGUAACGCGUAAAGAACUUGCCUCACAGCUAGGGACAACAUUUAGAAAUGAAUGCUAAUACCUGAUAUUAUGAUUUUAAGGCAUCUUAGAAUUAUGAAAGCUAUAAGCACUGUGAGGGAGCUUUGCGUCCCAUUAGCUAGUUGGAGAGGUAACAGCUCACCAAGGCGAUGAUGGGUAGCCGGCCUGAGAGGGUGAACGGCCACAAGGGGACUGAGACACGGCCCUUACUCCUACGGGAGGCAGCAGUGGGGAAUAUUGGACAAUGGACCGAGAGUCUGAUCCAGCAAUUCUGUGUGCACGAUGAAGUUUUUCGGAAUGUAAAGUGCUUUCAGUUGGGAAGAAAAAAAUGACGGUACCAACAGAAGAAGUGACGGCUAAAUACGUGCCAGCAGCCGCGGUAAUACGUAUGUCACGAGCGUUAUCCGGAUUUAUUGGGCGUAAAGCGCGUCUAGGUGGUUAUGUAAGUCUGAUGUGAAAAUGCAGGGCUCAACUCUGUAUUGCGUUGGAAACUGUAUAACUAGAGUACUGGAGAGGUAAGCGGAACUACAAGUGUAGAGGUGAAAUUCGUAGAUAUUUGUAGGAAUGCCGAUGGGGAAGCCAGCUUACUGGACAGAUACUGACGCUAAAGCGCGAAAGCGUGGGUAGCAAACAGG